UGCCAGCCGCCGCGGUAAUACGGAGGGUGCAAGCGUUAAUCGGAAUUACUGGGCGUAAAGCGCGCGUAGGUGGUUUGUUAAGUCAGAUGUGAAAGCCCAGGGCUCAACCUUGGAACUGCACCUGAUACUGGCAGGCUAGAGUAUGGUAGAGGGAGGUAGAAUUCCACGUGUAGCGGUGAAAUGCGUAGAGAUGUGGAGGAAUACCAGUGGCGAAGGCGGCCUCCUGGACUAAUACUGACGCUGAGGCGCGAAAGCGUGGGGAGCAAACAGGAUUAGAUA
rnacentral:rRNA from 1 species